UGGGCGGAUGGCGGAACUGGCAGACGCACAGGACUUAAAAUCCUGAGGCUCGCAAGAGCCGUGAGGGUUCAAUUCCCUCUCCGCCCAU
rnacentral:tRNA from 1 species